UUCCGGUUGAUCCCGCCGGACCUGACUGCUAUCGGAUUGAUACUAAGCCAUGCGAGUCAUUGUAGCAAUACAAGGCAGACGGCUCAGUAACGCGUAGUCAACCUAACCUAUGGACGGGAAUAACCUCGGGAAACUGAGAAUAAUGCCCGAUAGAACACUAUAUCUGGAAUGGUUUGUGUUCCAAAUGAUUUAUCGCCGUAGGAUGGGACUGCGGCCUAUCAGUUUGUUGGUGAGGUAAUGGCCCACCAAGACUAUUACAGGUACGGGCUCUGAGAGGAGUAGCCCGGAGAUGGGUACUGAGACACGGACCCAGGCCCUAUGGGGCGCAGCAGGCGAGAAAACUUUGCAAUGUGCGAAAGCACGACAAGGUUAAUCCGAGUGGUUUGUGCUAAACGAACCUUUUGUCGGUCCUAGAAACACCGAUGAAUAAGGGGUGGGCAAGUUCUGGUGUCAGCCGCCGCGGUAAAACCAGCACCUCAAGUGGUCAGGAUGAUUAUUGGGCCUAAAGCAUCCGUAGCCGGCGCUAUAAGUUUUCGGUUAAAUCUGUACGCUCAACGUACAGGCUGCCGGGAAUACUGUAGCGCUAGGGAGUGGGAGAGGUAGACGGUACUCGGUAGGAAGGGGUAAAAUCCUUUGAUCUAUUGAUGACCACCUGUGGCGAAGGCGGUCUACCAGAACACGUCCGACGGUGAGGGAUGAAAGCUGGGGGAGCAAACCGGAUUAGAUACCCGGGUAGUCCCAGCUGUAAACUAUGCAAACUCAGUGAUGCAUUGGCUUGUGGCCAAUGCAGUGCUGCAGGGAAGCCGUUAAGUUUGCCGCCUGGGAAGUACGUACGCAAGUAUGAAACUUAAAGGAAUUGGCGGGGGAGCACCACAAGGGGUGAAGCCUGCGGUUCAAUUGAGUUCAACGCCCGG
rnacentral:rRNA from 2 species